rnacentral:rRNA from 1 species
GAUAAACGCUGGCGGCGCACAUAAGACAUGCAAGUCGAACGGACUUAACUCGAAGUUUACUUUGAGAGCGGUUAGUGGCGGACUGGUGAGUAACACGUGAGCAACCUGCCUAUCAGAGGGGAAUAACAGUGAGAAAUCAUUGCUAAUACCGCAUAUGCUUACACUAUCGCAUGAUAGAGUAAGGAAAGGAGCAAUCUGCUGAUAGAUGGGCUUGCGUCUGAUUAGCUAGUUGGUGAGGUAACGGCUUACCAAGGCGACGAUCAGUAGCCGGACUGAGAGGUUGAACGGCCACAUUGGGACUGAGAUACGGCCCAGACUCCUACGGGAGGCAGCAGUCGGGAAUAUUGCGCAAUGGAGGAAACUCUGACGCAGUGACGCCGCGUAUAGGAAGAAGGUUUUCGGAUUGUAAACUAUUGUCGUUAGGGAAGAUAAAAGACAGUACCUAAGGAGGAAGCUCCGGCUAACUACGUGCCAGCAGCCGCGGUAAUACGUAGGGAGCGAGCGUUAUCCGGAAUUAUUGGGCGUAAAGGGUGCGUAGACGGGGAAUAUAAGUCGUUUGUAAAAAUGCUAGGCUCAACUUAGUAGGGCAAACGAUACUGUAGACCUAGAGUACAGCAGAGGCAAGUGGAACUUCAUGUGUAGCGGUAAAAUGCGUAAAUAUAUGGAAGAACACCAGUGGCGAAGGCGGCUUGCUGGGCUGAUACUGACGUUGAGGCACGAAAGCGUGGGGAGCAAACAGGAUUAGAUACCCUGGUAGUCCACGCCCUAAACGAUGAGUACUAAGUGUUGGUGAGAAUCAGUGCUGAAGUUAACGCAUUAAGUACUCCGCCUGAGUAGUACGUACGCAAGUAUGAAACUUAAAGGAAUUGACGGGAGCCCGCACAAGCGGUGGAGCAUGUUGUUUAAUUCGACGAUACGCGAAGAACCUUACCAGGUCUUGACAUCUGCUGCGAAGUUAUAGAGAUAUAAUGGAGGUUAACAGCAAGACAGGUGGUGCAUGGUUGUCGUCAGCUCGUGUCGUGAGAUGUUGGGUUAAGUCCCGCAACGAGCGCAACCCUUAUUUCUAGUUACCAUCAUUGAGUUGGGGACUCUAGAGAGACUGCCAUUGAUAAAAUGGAGGAAGGUGGGGAUGACGUCAAAUCAUCAUGCCCUUUAUGACCUGGGCUACAAACGUGCUACAAUGGCUGAAACAAAGAGAGGCGAAGCCGCGAGGUGGAGCAAAACUCAAAAAAGCAGUCUCAGUUCGGAUUGAAGUCUGCAACUCGACUUCAUGAAGAUGGAAUCGCUAGUAAUCGCGAAUCAGAAUGUCGCGGUGAAUACGUUCUCGGGCUUUGUACACACCGCCCGUCAAACCAUGAGAGUUUGUAAUACCCGAAGCCGGUGGCCUAACGAAAGAGGGAGCCGUCUAAGGUAGGACAGAUGAUUGGGGUUA